rnacentral:tRNA from 1 species
UUGCGGAGACAGGAUUU